UUAGUCCGUUUCUACCAAAUUUCUGUCAAAUUGUUCUUAAUGGAUUUGAUUAUGAUCUUUUUCUUUAAAUCUGCACAUGCUUUGGCAUUUGAUUUGUAUUUAUAAUUGGUAUUUGAUUUGUGUUUUUAAUAAGGUGCUCAAACCCUAAUAGAGGAAUAUUUAGGCUUUGUUCGAGAAAUUUUAUUUAUUUGUGCGAUUGAAGAAAAAAAUGGGUUAGAUCUAGUACUCUGAGAAGUACUUCGAUGAUACUUAUGAAUACAGGCAUGUAGUUCAUUUACCGUGAAGCUUAUGGUUCUCAAAAGGAACAUUCCAUAGGAGAAAUACAUGACGACCAAGUUGAUCACUGGGAUAACCCUUAAACUUUUAAAGCGUUAUAAUUAACAGGAAACCUGAGAACCAGAGAGAUUCCUUGAUGGAUGAUGUAAUUUUUCAUCUUUGCUUCUUUCUCAAAGUAUAGGUUGUUCAAGAAUUUUAGCUUCAGUCUUUUUGUCAAAUGUAUCCAGUGACACAUAAUCUCUUUUA